UGACUGUCCCCAUUUCUCUUUCAUGGAGAGAGGACUGAGGCCCAUCUUUUGAGUUCUCAUCUUGAGAGGGUGGGGCUGAGACCCAAACCUGGCACUUGAGCACUGGACUGAGACCUCCUCUUCUGGGAAGUGGCCAAGCCCCUGUCAUCCUGUGACUGUUUACUCUCUGCCUAGUGUCUCACCUACUAAAUAGACCUUGUCUCAUGGUGGCUCUCAGGAGGCCAGGGGUGGGGCCAUUCCCUAUAGAUUCUGUGGCCCAGGUGUCAUUUCUGGCCUCUGGGCGCUUUGAGGCCCUCAGAUGGCCAUGUUUAUUGCAAGGCUCAUGUGGCCUAGGACCCCCUUUCUAACUGGUGUCCUGUGGGCCUUGGUCAGCUCCAGGGACAUGUUUGUCUUUUUUUUUUUUUAUUAUAAGACUUAUUUAUUUAUUAUAUAUGAGUACACUGUAGCUGUCUUCAGACAUGCCAAAAGAGGGCAUCAGAUCCCAUUACAGAUGGUUGCGAGCCACCAUGUGGUUGCUGGGAUUUGAUCUCAGAACCUCUGGAAGAGCAGUCAAUGCCCUUAACCACUAAGCCGUCCCUCCAAACUGGGAUAUGUUUUUUUUUUUUUUUUUUAAUGUUUCCAGGGUGGCGCUCCAACCCCCUUCGACCGGAACUAUGGGACCAAACUGGGGGUGAAGGCCAUGUUGUGGA
rnacentral:lncRNA from 1 species